CACCAUUUCAGUCCCAUUAACAAGCUUUCCUUAAUAUGUCAAGGUAGUUGGACUGACACAUUGAUUACAUGCAAAGGCACGUCUGCUUAAAAUAAAUCUGCACUUUUGUUUAUUUUGAAGCCUAUGAGUGCGCUUUUUACGUUGAAGUACUUUUUAAUUUUAAGUUAUCUGUUCUAACUCUGUAUCUGCACACUAUGCUGGCGCGACACAUUAUGGGGCUGGUAAAUAUUUUUUUUCCAGGGCUGCUUUUAAUUCCCAGUCCGGCCCUGGGCGUGGGCAUGUAUGGCUGCCAAUAGAACUGGUUCUCUUGUAUUUAUUGAUGAUGUGACUGCUGACAAAAGGAUGAAUUCUGAAGUGUUUCGGGCAAUAUUAUCUGCUCAUAUUCAGCCAAAUGCUUCAGAACUCAUUGGACAGCGCUUCACAGUGCAGAUGGACAAUGACCCGAAGCAUACUGCAAAAGCAACCAAAGAGUUUUUAAGGGAAAGAAGUGGUAUAUUGUUUAUAUAGUGAUUGUUUAAAGAUUGUUAUGGUUACCACUUGAUAUGUCAUAUGUGGUCAAAUUCUGUUUCACUAAAUUUAAAAGAGCACCCGAGAUAUGGUUUUCAAUAGGCUUGAAACAAGGGCAUGGACAGCUAAAUGUUACCUUUAUCUGUUGUUUGUAAAUCAAGAAAAUUUCUCUGGGAAAGAAUCGUUGCUUUUUUUGGUUUUGCUCUAUCUGUUGAUGAAGACGUGUUGUGGUCUCAUGUAGAUACCAACUCCAUUGUUAACAUCUACAGCAUGGGUCGUCAACCUGAUCCCUACCGCCCACUAGUGGGCGUUUCAGGUUUCCAGGUGGGCGGUAGGGAUUUCGGCGGCUAAAUCCUCUUUUUAAGAGGAUUUCUCCUUUUUAGAGUGGGCGGGCCGGCGCGAGCGUCUUGGGGGCGCAAGAUUUCAGUGACCGGCAGGAGGAAAGCGCUCCCUCCUGCCAGGCCACCUUAUGGACCCCCC